rnacentral:rRNA from 1 species
GUGAGGAAUAUUGGUCAAUGGGCGCAAGCCUGAACCAGCCAUCCCGCGUGCAGGAAGACGGCCCUACGGGUUGUAAACUGCUUUUCCAGGGGGAGAAACUUACGUACGCGUUACGUAACUGACGGUACCCUGGGAAUAAGCAUCGGCUAACUCCGUGCCAGCAGCCGCGGUAAUACGGAGGAUGCAAGCGUUAUCCGGAUUCAUUGGGUUUAAAGGGUGCGUAGGCGGACUAUUAAGUCAGUGGUGAAAUCCUGCAGCUCAACUGUAGAACUGCCGUUGAUACUGAUAGUCUUGAGUUUGGUUAAGGUAGGCGGAAUGUGUAAUGUAGCGGUGAAAUGCUUAGAUAUUACACAGAACACCGAUUGCGUAGGCAGCUUACUGAGCCGACACUGACGCUGAGGCACGAAAGCGUGGGGAUCGAACAGGAUUAGAUACCCUAGUAGUCC